rnacentral:lncRNA from 1 species
UGCGAUAAGACAAUUUCGGGGACCUUUGCCUACGAACAGACACACAGUUGCCCGUAUCCAAUAUAGUGCAGAGCUCGCCAAAGUUGGAAAGUACCAUCGUGGAGGAAGAUCCAUUGUUCCAAUGGAAUUCGGUUUAUCUUCCUUGGCCCGAUCGUAGCCCGAAUUUGAACCAUAUCGAGCAUAUAUGGGACACUAUUGGGCGUAAAGUGCACGAAAGGACAUCCCAGUUCAAACACG